rnacentral:rRNA from 1 species
GGAGGGUGCAAGCGUUAUCCGGAUUCACUGGGUUUAAAGGGUGCGUAGGCGGGCAGGUAAGUCCGUGGUGAAAUCUCUGAGCUUAACUCAGAAACUGCCAUGGAUACUAUUUGUCUUGAAUAUUGUGGAGGUAAGCGGAAUAUGUCAUGUAGCGGUGAAAUGCUUAGAUAUGACAUAGAACACCAAUUGCGAAGGCAGCUUACUACACAGUUAUUGACGCUGAGGCACGAAAGCGUGGGGAUCAAACAGGAUUAGAUACCCUGGUAGUCCACGCCCUAAACGAUGAUUACUCGACAUCAGCGAUACACUGUUGGUGUCUGAGCGAAAGCAUUAAGUAAUCCACCUGGGAAGUACGAUYKYUWAGRGUUG